AUGUGCCAUGUGCCAAACGCACUGGAAACGCUUUCAUAUGUUCAUAUGGUCACACUAAACAAUGUCAAGCUUUGGCUAUUAAAAAAUAGGAAAAUGGUAUGGAGGUUAUGCUUAGAGCAUCUCCAGCCGCGCCCCCAACAAGCCCUCCCCAAGCGUUUUUUCCGCGCCGGCGCCCAAAAAUCGGCCAGUCGCGCCCACAGGAGCCCGUUUUUCGCCGGCUUGCGCCGAAAUUGGCGUCGGCGGCCCCAGGCCGAACCCGGCGCGCUAGGGGGCACCGGGGCGAGCGGCUUUGGCGCGAAAGAGCCGCGGGCCCGCCGAGUCAACGGCACGCGCCUCGUCUUCCCCAGAACGCCUCGGUUUCCCAUGGGGAAUCAAUGGCAAGGCUGCCGCCGGUCAGCCUUGCCAUUGAUUCCUCACGGGUGGCGUGUCACGGGCGGGCGGGCGCGGCGACACCUCCCCUUCCGCCAUGCGUACACACGGCGCGGGGCUAUAAAACCAAAGGCUCCCCCUCACCGCCAAGCUCUGCCUCCCUCCCGUCCGCCGCCGAGCUCCCCUUCCCUUUCCCUCUCAAUGGCCGAACGCUUCCCUGGCGACGCUGCGGCGGCCAACGGCUUCGGCCGCCGCUCGCUCCGGGAGUGGGAGGCGUACCUCCUGUUCAAGGCCAACAUCCCAGCACCGCCGGACAUGCGCGCCGGGCCGACGGGGUGGAAGCUCAACAACGAGGGUGUCCCCAUCCCCCCGGUGCCCGACGUCGAGGCGCGCCCCGGCAUCUUCGCCGCCGAGGUCGACCGCGUGCGUUCGUCCCUGACGGAGGAGCAACGCUCCCUCCCCCAGUACGCCGCCGACAACCACGCGGCGUGGGCGGAGUACUUCCAGCGCCGGCAGGCGCAGCGGCUGGCGUCCACGAACGAGACGCCAGUGGUGGGCAGCGUCAAGAACAGCGAUGGGCGCGCGUCUGGUGGGGCGUCCCGGGCCGCACACUCCACGAGGUGCUGGCGUACCUCGAGGGCGGCAAUGACCCGCCGCUGGCAUACCCUGCCGCGGCGGUCGUCCCGCCCCCACGCCGGAGCGCCGGGCCAUGGGUGCCCAGGAGGUUUGGCUCCUCCUCGUCUUCCUCCUCUUAGUCGUCCUCUCGCUCCUCCUCCCACUCUUCCGGCUCGCCGGCGUUGUUAG
rnacentral:rRNA from 1 species